rnacentral:lncRNA from 1 species
GAGUAGAGCUACAGGAAACUGUAAACAGGAUAUAGUACAUGAGAAAGCCCAUUGUCAAUCACAGUUAAAUAAAAACAAAUUAACCAUGUUACUUUUUUUUUUUAAUUAUAGUAGCUAUUUAUUAAGCACCUACCUGAAUACAAAACACUUGGCCAAGAGCUUUUUAUGGCACACUCCGACAACACACACACAAUCUCUUUUUAAGUAAAAAAUUUAGUAUAUUUGUGUAUUGAAGUGUGUUUGUGCAUGCAUGCACAUGCAUGGUCACAGUACAUAUGUGAAGGUCAGAAGGAAACUUGCAAGAGUAGAUUCUCUCUCAUGGGUCAAACUCAGGUUGUCAGGCCUAGGGGCAAGUACAUUGGCCCACUAAGCUACCUCACUAGCCGUGACACUUUCCUUUGUAAAAAAUUGCAAAGGUACAGAAAAGUGCCAGGGUAUUUGUACAAUUCCCCUAUGCUGUAAAGUUUGAUCUUCCAGGCCAUUUAUAAAUAUUCUUGCUAACAUCAGAAACUCUCUGAUGAAGAAGGAUAUAAUAUUGUGUGUAUGUAGAGGGAAAGGAUAUUCUUCUGUGCCACCACGGUCCAAUGAUGCUGAUAAAAUUCUAGGAGCUAAUCUGUAGCCUGUAUUCAAGUUCCUAGCAUUAAAAGUUCAUUCCUAUUUUAGGAUCUAGAAUAUAACCUGAGAUUGUACACUGUAAUUAGCUUUUACAUUUCUAUAAUCUUCAAUUCCCCAGUUUGUGUUAAUCUUUCAUGACACUGACAUUUUGGAGGCACAUGGGCUAGCUUUUCAGAAUGUUCCUCAGUUUGGAUUUCAUAAUUGUUUCCUCAUAUUACAUUUAUGCCAGGUUUGGCAGGAAUGCUAUGUGAAUGAUGUCAUAUCUUCAUCAAGAAGCACAUAAUGUCAGCUAAUCUUGUGUUGGUAACAUUAACUUUGAUUACUUGCUUAAGAUUGGGUCCAUUUGACUUUCUCACUUUUAAGAUUUUCUUUUUCCCUAGUGAUCAAUUUGUACUCUGUGGGAUUACUUGAGGCUGAGGAACUAUAAUCUAUCUAACAUUGAAACAGUAACUCAAAACAAAUGUAGCUAAGCUCCCAAGUGUCUAUUCAAUAGACAGCUGAUUCUGUUUUAUAAAGUUCUUAAAAAUAUCACCAUGAUGUGUCUAACCAUCACCCAAGGUUGUAUGGAAGAACUCAAAUCAAGACUAGCUUUGAAAAAUAAUUUACAUGUAAAAAGAAUAGAAACUUUAUCCAUAAUUAUAUACCAUAUUUAGUAUGGCAUACACCGUAGAUGGCAUGGAAAUAAUGUGAGUUGAGUAGGAGAUUAAAUAAUAAUAAGUAAACUGGAGCCAAACCAAUGAGAGCCCUGGAUGCAAGAAUAUUUGCAUAUCAUAUACAUACUAAAAGAACUCAGGCCAAGAGUUGAGAGAGAGAAAAACUGAUAGGUGCUGUUAACAUAGAGCUUCUGUACAAUAACCCACUAACUUUGAACAAGGAAUUCAAAGAAAUCAUUUUUCCACUGAAGUAAAUAAGAAAAACAAAUCUUUCAGGGAACUUAUUUCCUAACAAGGUAUAGGUUCUUAAAUUCAAAUUGGCUCUAACAUUGUAAGUGUACAUUUGAUGGUAAUAAGUUAUUACAAUCUAACAUUGCCCUGCCACCUUAGCGUAGCUCCUAAUCACUUUGCAUGAAUUUUGCGUGUGUUGCAUAUGCUCUCGUUUUUAGAUUUGAGGCUGUCUGUGUAUCUGAGCACCAACAUACAUGCCUGGUGCCAGCAGAGGUCAGAUAAGGACAUCUGGUCUCCUGGAACUGGAGCUACAGAUGUGGUCAGGUGCCAUGUGGGUGCUAGGAGCUCAACCCAGGUCCUCAGUAAGAGCAGCCAGUGUUCUUAACCACUGAGCCAACUCCAGCUCAUGCUGCUCUUAAACAUGCUGAUAUCAUACCCUCUGGUAUCCUGGCAUUUGCCUGUCUCUGCAGUCUGCACUGUUGUUCUAAAAACCCUAGCAGAAUCGUAUACUAGGACUUGUACUGUACCUGUACAUACAAGUUCAAUUCUUGAAAUUGAAGAUACUAUGAGAGAUGUGUCGAACAGUGUAGAACAGUGUGUUUGAUUGAAUUAAGUGCACUGUUUUACUAGCUUCACACUUAAGCUUUGUUUCCUGAGUUUAUGUCACCAUAAACUGAGGUUUAAGUAAUUAAAAAUUCAGACUUACAAAGCAGUGCUCACUCCCUUUAGCAUAAAUGUUAACUUCAUUUCCAUUUGUUCCUUCAAAUGUUCUACCUGUAUAUACUUGACAGUACCUGACCAGCACCAAGAUUUCACACGUGCUAACUGUACUUUGGCCCCUGUCAUUCAACAUCAGCCUGACUCUUGUCUAUUUAACAUUACUAUUAUUUUAAACAUAAUAACAAUUUAUCCCAAGAUAUAGAAGAAAUCCUUUCUAAGCCACAACUAUUGUAUAAAUUCUGUUAGCUGAAUAUAAAAAAAUGCCACUACUAUCUGUAUCAUAAUCAUGGGACUAUAGAUAAUUAUAUAAUAUAUUGAUAAUUUUAAAAUGCAAGCAGGUCCAUGGUCCUGCUAGUGAUGCUACUACAUUUAACUCUUUUCUCACUAUCCACCACGAACUGCAUAUCUUAAUCCCUUGUUCCUUUAACUAGUAACGUUUAAUGAUCUCUCUUUUACAAGAAAAUUAGCCUCAGUUAAGUGUAUCCUGUGUCUUCUGUUAUGUUAUUUAGUCCCCAAAUACUUACUCUUUCAAAGAACUCCUACGAUACUAGAAUCAGGAAGUCUCCAUAUUCCAGUCGGGAACUGGGAACACAUGCUGAGCCCUCUCCUAGCUAGAAUCUGUGUGCCCAUGAUGGAGAAAUGAUGUCUUCAAAGUUAUUAUAUGAUUUGACCUGUAUACUCUCUUGCAAAUAGUAGAAGUUGAUUCAUUUUAAGUAUGUAAUUAUCCCUUAAGUGUAUCUCUGAUUGCAAAUGAAUCUAAGUAUAAUUGCUAAUAUGCUUUUAAGUCUCAAAAUAGAUAUGGCAAAUAUAUAGUAUGAUUGGUGGCACUUCCAGCUCCUGUGCCUCCGUAGACUCUCUGGCAUUUCUCACAGAGUGCAGCUCUCUCAGCGUUCUUUCCAACACAACUCUCUAAGCAGCCAAUACAAAUUAAUGGGAAUUAAUAUAUAGGUAUUAUUUGCCAUCUUUGUUUUAGAAGGUGUGCAACAUUAUAAAAUACUUAAGUAUUCUUAGGGCCUUAAAAUUUUUUCUUUAAAAAUCUUAGACCUAAAAUUCUGACAUGAUAGGCCGAAAAUUCUGUAUGAUGAGCCAGCUUACUUUUGUUGCCUAUAUUCUGUCUGAUCUCCAAAGGAACUGGAGGAUUCCGAAAAGAUGGAGAGAUGAGCUGAUGUGAAAGGGAAUUCUGGAGUGCAACUCAGUCCUGAGAUGCUAACAUCCCAACUAUACUUUACAUGAGAAGUCUGUCCUUAGAAAAGGACUGUAAUAUCUCACCCAAGCUGGUUAACUAAAGCUGUCUUCACAAUAAGAACAAAUUAAGAAAUUGUAUUAUACAGAAUUACAGAUAGUUCCCAUCCAGGAAGCUAAGUGUGGUUGUAUCACUACAUGUAUUCUUGUUAUCACUGCUGCGAUAAAGAACCGGAACACCAUUUACUCAAAUCACAGAAACUAAGAGUCUUGCUCUUACUUGACAAAUCCUAGGAUAAGGAACUAUUUCCAUAGCAUCUCAGGAAGUUUCACUUAGGUAACAGAGACAGUUACAGAGUAACUCAUUGUCUUGUGCAAAUAGCAACUUAUUUAAGCACC